CCUGCUGAGCCAUCUCACCAGCCCUCAAGGUACUUUUUGAAAUUGAAAAUUAAUUAUCUCGGGCUGGCGAGAUGGCUCAGUGGU
rnacentral:pre_miRNA from 1 species